rfam:Dipodomys ordii contig_33364, whole genome shotgun sequence.
GGUGGCUCAGUGUUAGAGUGCUUGCCUUGCAUGCAUGAGGCCCUGGGUUCAAUUCCUCAGCACCA